GUGCAGCAGUCGAGAAUACUUUACAAUGUGCGAAAGCACGAUAAGGGAACUCUGAGUGCCUCCUAAGGAGGCUGUUCUGAUGUCUAAAAAGCAACAGAAGUAAGGGCUGGGUAAGACCGGUGCCAGCCGCCGCGGUAACACCGGCAGCCCAAGUGGUAGCCACGUUUAUUGGGUCUAAAGCGUUCGUAGGCCGGCCAGGUAAGUUCCUUGGUAAAUUUAGCCGCUUAACGGUUAAGCUUUCAGGGAAUACUGCUUGGCUUGGGGACGUGGGAGAGGUCAGAGGUACUCCGGGGGUAGGGGUGAAAUCUAUUAAUCCCUGGGGGACCACCGGUAGCGAAGGCGUCUGACCAGACCAGGUCCGACGGUGAGGGACGAAGGCUAGGGGCGCGAACCGGAUUAGAGUACCCGGGUAGU
rnacentral:rRNA from 1 species